AUGCCUCAUCACAGGAUGCCUGGAUAAGGCAAAUGCCAACCCAAAUUAAGUUCAGCAGGGUGAAGUAAAGUUCAUGAAUCCAGAAGAUGGACUGACAAAACCUUUCCAACCAGUUGGUUCCCAUUCCCCUCCACCAUCCGACCCUAAGGCUACAGAUCAACUAUAUACAACAUCAUAGAAAGUGGGUCUACAACAAAGGAUGACAGUCCGAGAGUCUUGCAGAAGAGACUAUGCCAGACACUCUUGACUACUGAUACCUCAAGAAACUGACUCAUGGACACAAACUUUGGAGUAUAAGCGACAUCCCUUAAGCAACAGGCUAGACUACACCAAAGGAUUCAGUCGAGAUUUCUGGGACCCUUUGUGAAGCAGACAACCCAAGAUCUAGUGGAACACAAUGUAAUGACUGAAUGAAUUAAUGAAAGAAAUCUAACUCUA
rnacentral:lncRNA from 10 species